rnacentral:lncRNA from 1 species
GCCAAGGCUCUUAUGAAGUUUGCUUUCUUUGUUGCUUUGUUGCUGAUUACCAUGGGUUUGUUUCUCUUUCUUAUUCCAAUUCCUUCAUGGCCAUUUCAUUUAAUGUCAGUUUUCCAUUGUAAUAUCUUAGAGCAAACAGGAAAAAGAAUGAUAAUAAUCAUAUGUACGGGUGGCAUAAUUAGUUUUGUAUUAAGUUUUGGCGAGUCACUGACUACCCAUUCAUUAACUCAGUUCAUUUUGACCCGCCCAAAUUCAGCUAGUCUAAAACAUAAACUGAUUUGGACCUAUGAGAAACCUUAUCAGAAAAUUUAAAUAAGUUUUAAAUUUAAUAUGUUAUAUAUAUAGCUGCAAUAAAGGGGGGAAAUUCAUAAGUAGUAAUUAAAUAAAUUACAAGAAAACAAACAGAAAAAUUAAAAUUUGAUAAGAGGUGGGUUGGUCGGGUUAUGCCAUAUUAUUUAGCUAAUCUUGAUUUAACCCAUCUCUGUCUAAAUAAUUUUUUUUAGGCGAACUAAUAAACCUUUCAUUAGUUAACUCACCCCAUUUUGACGCGCCAAAAUUCAGUCGGACUCGCAUAUUUGACACCCCUAAACUCGUAUGUUAUAUAAUGAAUUGCUUACAAUUUUCUUGUAUAUAAUUGCAGAUAUUUCAUCCUUUAAGGUGGCAGCGCUGAGAAAAUGUAAUACUUCAGACGAUUGCGAAGGGGUUUGUUCUCCUGCUCUGAAAACCAGUUGUCUUUUUCACCGGUGCAUAUGCUGGUCCAAGAAAAAGGAAGAAAUGGAUACACAAUUAGGUCUGAAUCCAAAAAAUAACUGAUGUCUUUUAUUGUGCUUGCAUUGAAUCGUGCUAAAAUGGAUGUGGACUUGAUCUUGUGUAAUACGAUAUGUCCC